UACGUAGGGUGCGAGCGUUGUCCGGAAUUACUGGGCGUAAAGAGCUCGUAGGCGGUUUGUCGCGUCUGCUGUGAAAACUCGGGGCUUAACCCCGGGCCUGCAGUGGGUACGGGCAGACUAGAGUGCGGUAGGGGAGACUGGAAUUCCUGGUGUAGCGGUGAAAUGCGCAGAUAUCAGGAGGAACACCGGUGGCGAAGGCGGGUCUCUGGGCCGUAACUGACGCUGAGGAGCGAAAGCGUGGGGAGCGAACAGG
rnacentral:rRNA from 1 species